rnacentral:sRNA from 1 species
GCGAGGUCGUCCUUCGAGAGGUGGUCC